UAUGGCGACCGGCGCACGGGUGAGUAACACGUAUCCAACCUGCCGAUGACUCGGGGAUAGCCUUUCGAAAGAAAGAUUAAUACCCGAUGGCAUAGUUCUUCCGCAUGGUAGAACUAUUAAAGAAUUUCGGUCAUCGAUGGGGAUGCGUUCCAUUAGGUUGUUGGCGGGGUAACGGCCCACCAAGCCUUCGAUGGAUAGGGGUUCUGAGAGGAAGGUCCCCCACAUUGGAACUGGGACACGGUCCAA
rnacentral:rRNA from 1 species